rnacentral:rRNA from 1 species
UAGGGAAUCUUCCACAAUGGACGCAAGUCUGAUGGAGCAACGCCGCGUGAGUGAAGAAGGUCUUCGGAUCGUAAAGCUCUGUUGUUGGUGAAGAAGGAUAGAGGCAGUAACUGGUCUUUAUUUGACGGUAAUCAACCAGAAAGUCACGGCUAACUACGUGCCAGCAGCCGCGGUAAUACGUAGGUGGCAAGCGUUGUCCGGAUUUAUUGGGCGUAAAGCGAGCGCAGGCGGAAUGAUAAGUCUGAUGUGAAAGCCCACGGCUCAACCGUGGAACUGCAUCGGAAACUGUCAUUCUUGAGUGCAGAAGAGGAGAGUGGAACUCCAUGUGUAGCGGUGGAAUGCGUAGAUAUAUGGAAGAACACCAGUGGCGAAGGCGGCUCUCUGGUCUGCAACUGACGCUGAGGCUCGAAAGCA